GAGACGUACAAGCUAUACUAUAAUGAAGUACAAUCACACGUGAAGAUGAGGGAUGUUGUACUAUGCUGCUUCCCAGUUGUACUAUUAGAGAAGUACUUAUUGUAUUUCAUCAAAAAUUCGUUAAGUACAUUCACCAGAAAAUCCUCAUUCCUCUCACCAAAUUAAAUUAAGAAGCAUCGUUGUAUAAAUAGGUAGGCUAAGUGAAUCAUUGUUCUUACUCGACUACGAGAUUUUUGUCAUCUCCAAGAACAAUGCAUACAUAAUUUGAAGAGCAAAAGGCGUUAUUCUCAAAAUUGGACAUUUCACUUUGCGGACUCCGAGGGAUAGAUUAAUAAUGGGUGAAACAAUUGGUCCUUCUAGUAUCAUCUUUCACCAAAAUCUCAAAUGGUAACUAUAAAAACUAACUUUCCUAACUAAGAAGUUAUUUUUAUUAAAUUCCAACUUUGUGAGAGAUGCAUAAGAAAAAUAUCUUAUUUUUCUUAUGCAUCACACCCAUAAACAGGACUAGCAUUUCUUUCCUUGCGGCCAACGAGCUGCCGCUGCACGAGGCUCAUCUGGGCCUUUCGGGGAGUAUCCCAAUUACCAGACGCUCUACAUUAGUGACGACCCUAUUUGUGCUCCUUGUGAAUUUUGUCGAUUCGAUUCGUGGUUCAUCGGAUUCGUCGGAAUGAAGCCCUAGUUUCUAUAUCAGCGAACCACCCAAAAUUAGAGACGAUAUGGAUUUGAUUGGAAUAGGUUGGGGAUGCUAGAGAUUGGUUGAGUUCAAGAUCUAUGGCUGCAGUGUGACAAUGUAGGGUUAUGUGUGACACAUAAGGAAUCGAUGUCUCUCACAAAGUUAGAUAUUUUAUAAAAAUUCAAAACUCUAAAGUUUGUUAGUUUGUAUACCUAGAACAUUUGAGAAUUUUGUCAUCAUGUUGCAAAACAAAUCUGUAUCUUAUAAUUAUCCUUUAUUCUGAA